rnacentral:lncRNA from 1 species
AUGCUGGAACCCCUGGGCGGCUCGUCUGACCCGUUGUUGGGGGCCUCCAUGCACAGGUUCGGCAUCCUCGUCAUGUUGUACCCUAUAUCCUUGCACAUGGGGAUUUCGAUCGGCUGGCACCUCCCGUCGCCGGGGCGCUCAAUGUCUAUGGAGCUUAUCCCCGCGCAGCGCUCUGCGAGCCAGCAGAGCGCCAGGACGGCCCGCACCAGGUUCCCUGCGGCUGGCCCCAUGUUGGCCGGGGGUCAGUGCGGCGGGGGCUGCAUCGCGUCCGGCCCCGGCGAGGCAGCGCGGAGGACGCGGCGGGGCUCAGGUCAGCAUCGCCCGGGCCGCUCGGCCCCGCCGGAGGAGCGGGGAGGCGGGCGGGGAAGUUCGCGAACAGCCAGGGGAGGAAGAAGUGCCCCCAAAGCACCGAUGAGCCGAACUUACUGCGGGGAGCCCGGCAACUUUCUUUUCUCCGGGCUUCCACUUUGGCGAGCCGUCUUUCCAGCACCCUUCCUGCUCCUCCUCCUCCCUCGAAGCGAAGGCAGAGCGAUCGGGGCAGAUCCGAGCGAUCACCUCUUCCACUCGCACAUGUCCCGGGCGGCUUUCGGUGCAGCGAGCUCCUCCGGGGAUUUUCCUCUUCCUAGAGCGGGUCACGGCUCCGGACUUUUUCGCCGAGAGGUGGGGAUUGGUUUAUCCGAGUGUAGAAUAAAGGAGGAGGAGGAAAUAUCUAAGCCAUUGAAGAGGGGGGCCUGGAAGAUCUGCCCCCUCGGCGCUCCGGCCCCGCGCCGUGCAGAGCUGAGCCGAGCGCUGCCUGCCUGCCUCCCCCCGCAGGGAACUCCGGGCCGAGCAGCUGGGGCUCCGGGGGCGGCUGACUCCGAGGAGAAAAUAAAAUACAACAACAAAAAAAAUAAAAACCUGUGCAGGAUCCGCCUUGCAUACGACAUCCACUUUGCAUGAGAAAGGUGAAGCUGACACGGUGAUUACUUUCCAAUCACUCGAAACGCCUUGAAACCUCCUUAAGGACCCCUACAGGUUCUCCUUGAUCAGCACAGAUUAGAAAAAGCCCCAUUUGUUUCUCUCUCCUCCUGUUCUUUCUUUCCUUCCUUUCUCCUCUCUCUCCCGUUGCCCUCCCUUGAAAGUUUAACAAGAUCCUUUCUCUGGAAGGCGUCAGCCUCUCCUCCCUCGCCCAGGUAGGAAGCCAGGCAGGGCGAGAGCCGCAGACUUCGUGGCUCCUAAUAAGAGGGCUGAAGGUGGUACCUCCUUGCCUGCCUUUAUUGGAGGGAGGGCAAUGCUUUAGCAGGGAGGAUGUGGGGAGGAGGAGGAUGCAUUUUAUGGCGAGUGCUAUAAACUCUUCGCUGCCAGGGUCAUAAAAUAUGCUCGCUUUCAGCCUGGAAUCUCAGCUGUUUUCAAACGUUGUGCUUUGUUUCGAAUUGCUAAAUGAACAGGACAGAUAGGAUUGCUGGAAAAGUACCUGAUUAUGUUUUUAAUCACAGUAUGGCAUCUCUUGAAAAGUAGCUUUUUUUUUUUUUUUUUUUCCGCUUACAUAAGAAGCUCUAAAAGCAACGUAACCUUGAGAAAGUGACUUCAUCCACUAUAGAAAAGAAACAUACAGAUUUUGGAGACAGAAAUCAUUUUACAGUGAGUUGUGUGUACUUUCUGAGUUAAGCUUCGAGAUUUAUGCUGCUUAUUGGUCCAUCAGAGCUGGAAGGAAGAAGUUAAAGCCCCAGCCAAGCUAAAAUUCACAAAUGUACAGAGCAAAACGCGAUCAGAAGUCAAAAGAUGAGCCCUACUUUACUGUUAUUUUUAAUUAUUAUUAUUUACUUUGAGCUCAGUUUUAGCGAACAUAUUAAUGAAGAAGGAAAAUCUCUCUCUUCACUCAAGCUCGCCCACACAAACUGGGCUCCUCUCCAUGACUGCCUGUUUCUUAUCGGAGCGAACACGGAUUCUCCUGGAAACUACCAAAUCCCGCAGGGUCAGAGCUAAUACCCCACCAGCCUCUAGAAAGGAAACUGUUGGCUUCCUCAGUUGUGAUAAGGGUGAAACGGAUCCAGGCAAGGACAACAAACCAGGGCUAGGGCUUGUCUUUGAAAAGCCUGAAGAUGCAGCUAGUUUUUGCUUAGGAGUAAAAACCAUCAUAAAUAUGUUUUAAAACAGUAUAUGUAUACAUAUUUUAAUGGCUUUUGGAUGGAUUGAAGAGAUCACACUUACAAGGCAUUGGUCUUUGGGGCUGACCUUUCCUGGGCACUCAGAGAUUCCUUAGGGAAUGUUAUAAAAGCAGGCAGUGUUAUGAGCAAAAUAAGCUGUAUUUAUUUUAGUGGGUCUGUGCGUAUGUAUGUGUGAGAGCGAGCGUGUGUUGGGGCAUUUCCAUUCUUCAUUAAUCUAAGCCUAUUUUCUUAGUAUUUGUAUGCAUCCCAAUUCCUCUUCUGGAGAGCUCAGCUGGGGGUGGCAGAGAAGUGUGGGGAAAGCUUUCACAAGGGACAAGCCAGCUUUUAAAACUUCCCUAUUGCUGAAGAUGAAGUUAUUAAAUAUUGGUUGUGUUCAGCUUGUUUUUGAGGCUGUUUUUCCUAUUUUCAACAAGUAUUUCUGUAGAGCACUUUAUAUCACCAUUCUCAUUAAAAAGAAAAAGAAAAAAACUAGAAAAAAAACCACAUUAAACAAAACACAGUGUGUUGUAUUCUAUAGCACAGAGGCCUUUUUCUCCAAAGUGGCCAAAAGAAAUACAAAUAAAAAUGAGGAUAAAAGGGAUAAAAAAAAAAAA